rnacentral:rRNA from 1 species
UACGUAGGGCGCAAGCGUUAUCCGGAAUUAUUGGGCGUAAAGGGCUCGUAGGCGGUUUGUCGCGUCGGGAGUGAAAACACCGGGCUUAACUCGGUGCUUGCUUUCGAUACGGGCAGACUAGAGGCAUGCAGGGGAGAACGGAAUUCCUGGUGUAGCGGUGAAAUGCGCAGAUAUCAGGAGGAACACCGGUGGCGAAGGCGGUUCUCUGGGACGGUACUGACGCUGAGACGCGAAAGCGUGGGGAGCGAACAGG